rnacentral:rRNA from 1 species
CGGAACACGUACGCAACCUUCCUUUAACUGGAGAAUAGCCCCUCGAAAGAGGGAUUAAUACUCCGUAACAUAUACAUGUGGCAUCACAAGUAUAUUAUAGCUCCGGCGGUUAAAGAUGGGCGUGCGCCUGAUUAGAUAGUUGGUGGGGUAACGGCCCACCAAGUCUGCGAUCAGUAACUGGUGUGAGAGCACGACCAGUCACACGGGCACUGAGACACGGGCCCG